UACGUAGGGGGCUAGCGUUGUCCGGAUUUAUUGGGCGUAAGAGCGUGUAGGCGGCCAGGUAGGUCUGCUGUGAAAACUCGAGGCUCAACCUCGAGAUGUCGGCGGAAACCAUCUGGCUAGAGUCCGGAAGAGGAGAGUGGAAUUCCGUGGUGUAGCGGUGAAAUGCGCAGAGUAUCAGGAGAACGACCCGCUGGCGAAGGCGGCUCUCUGGGACGGUACUGACGCUGAGCACGCGAAAGCGUGGGGAGCGAACAGGAUUAGACUACCCCGAGUA
rnacentral:rRNA from 1 species